AAUGAACGCUGGCGGCGUGGUUAAGACAUGCAAGUCGAACGGUUUUCAUUGGAAGGGCAACUGGAUAUGAAAGCAGUGGCGAACGGGUGCGUAACACGUGAACAAUCUACCUCGAAAGUGGGGAAUAGCUCGCCGAAAGGCGAAUUAAUACCGCAUGUGGUCGGAGCUCGCAUGAGCUUUGAACUAAAGUCCGGGACCGCAAGGCCUGACGUUUCGAGAGGAGUUCGCGGCCAUCAGCUAGUUGGCGAGGUAAC
rnacentral:rRNA from 1 species